UGUUCUGCAGCUUAGUUGGUUAAAGCGCCGGAUAAGCGAUAACGGAUUCGUGGGUUUGAAUCCCACCAAAACAA
rfam:Aedes albopictus isolate Foshan contig68381, whole genome shotgun sequence.